AUUGAACGCUGGCGGAAUGCUUUACACAUGCAAGUCGAACGGUAGAGGGGGCAACCCCUCGAGAGUGGCGAACGGGUGAGUAAUAUAUCGGAACGUGCCCAGUCGUGGGGGAUAACGUAGCGAAAGUUACGCUAAUACCGCAUACGAUCUAAGGAUGAAAGCGGGGGAUCGCAAGACCUCGCGCGAUUGGAGCGGCCGAUAUCAGAUUAGGUGGUUGGUGGGGUAAAGGCUCACCAAGCCAACGAUCUGUAGCUGGUCUGAGAGGACGACCAGCCACACUGGAACUAAGACACGGUCCAGACUCCUACGGGAGGCAGCAGUGGGGAAUUUUGGACAAUGGACGCAAGUCUGAUCCAGCCAUUCCGCGUGCAGGAUGAAGGCCCUCGGGUUGUAAACUGCUUUUGUACGGAACGAAAAGGUCUCUCUUAAUACGGGGGGCUCAUGACGGUACCGUAAGAAUAAGCACCGGCUAACUACGUGCCAGCCGCCGCGGUAA
rnacentral:rRNA from 1 species